rnacentral:rRNA from 1 species
UACGGAGGGUGCGAGCGUUGUCCGGAAUCACUGGGCGUAAAGGGCGCGUAGGUGGCUCGUGAAGCGUGCGGUGAAAGUCCGAGGCUCAACCUCGGAUCGGCCGUGCGGACUCGCGGGCUCGAGCGUUGUAGAGGCGGGUGGAAUUCCGGGUGUAGCGGAUGGAAUGCGUAGAGAUCCGGAAGAACACCGGUGGCGAAGGCGGCCCGCUGGGCAACUGCUGACACUGGAUGCGCGACAGCGGUGGGGAGCAAACAGG